rnacentral:rRNA from 1 species
AACGAACGCUGGCGGCGCGCUUAACACAUGCAAGUCGAACGAGAAGGCGUAGCAAUACGCUGGUACAGUGGCGAACGGGUGAGGAAUACAUGGGUAACCUACCCUCGAGUGGGGGAUAACCCGCCGAAAGGCGGGCUAAUACCGCGUACGCUUCCGAUCUUGCGGGAUCGGAAGGAAAAGCUCUCCCAAGGGGAUGGCGCUCAAGGAUGGGCUCAUGUCCUAUCAGCUUGUUGGAGGGUAACGGCCUACCAAGGCAUCGACGGGUAGCUGGUCUGAGAGGACGAUCAGCCACACUGGCACUGCGACACGGGCCAGACUCCUACGGGAGGCAGCAGUGAGGAAUAUUGCGCAAUGGGCGAAAGCCUGACGCAGCGACGCCGCGG